rnacentral:rRNA from 1 species
UAGGGAAUCUUCCGCAAUGGACGCAAGUCUGACGGAGCAACGCCGCGUGAGUGAAGAAGGAUUUCGGUUCGUAAAACUCUGUUGUUAGAGAAGAACAGCGCAUAGAGUAACUGUUAUGCGUGUGACGGUAUCUAACCAGAAAGCCACGGCUAACUACGUGCCAGCAGCCGCGGUAAUACGUAGGUGGCAAGCGUUGUCCGGAUUUAUUGGGCGUAAAGCGAGCGCAGGCGGUCAAUUAAGUCUGAUGUGAAAGCCCCCGGCUCAACCGGGGAGGGUCAUUGGAAACUGGUUGACUUGAGUGCAGAAGAGGCGAGGUGAAUUCCAUGUGUAGCGGUGAAAUGCGUAGAUAUAUGGAGGAACCCCAGUGGCGAAGGCGACUCUCUGGUCUGUAACUGACGCUGAGGCUCGAAAGCGUGGGUAGCAAACAGG